rnacentral:tRNA from 2 species
UCCCCUGUAGCUCAAUGGUAGAGCAAUUCGCUGUUAACGAAAAGGUUAGAGGUUCGAGUCCUCUCGGGGGAGCCA